AAGCAGCUGCGGUGCUGUCACCCGGUGAUGGGAGAGGACAGUCUCCCCUUCGGCAGCAGGAUGCUCUGGUUUCAUCAGCCACCUGCUGUCUGUGAGGUCUGAUGGAAGUGACUCAUCUUGAAACCAACCCGCUCAAAACCGGCUCCCAACACCCGAGAUCCUCGUGUCCUGCGCCCCGGCCGUUUCUCCACACACGCACAUGCUGCAGCUGGAGGAAAGGAAAAAAGCGAGACCGAACAGCCAAGGGACACAAGGGAUCGUCAGAGGAAGGGAGGCAGCCAAGGGAAAGGGGAAGACCCUGCAUGGGACUCAAAGGUUUCCACGUCUGCUCCCUCCCGAUGGGGCAGCGGCGAUGCAACGCAGAGCUGUGGAGGGCAUCAGGCUCGGAUGGUGCGGGUGGGCUGAUGGACGACGCAGCUCUUGGGAGGGAAGUGGGGAGGGGGGGAAUUUUGCGCUCAUCACCCCCCCCCAGCGAGGAAGUGGCUUUUCAAGGACAAACACCUGCGACCAGGCAGUGUUUGCAGGAACUUGCCCCUGGGGACCAGCCUUGUCCACAGGGCUCAGUCACCAGAGCAAGAACUUGUUCAGCUAGAGACUAGGUGGGGUGGCAAGGGAUGGGGCAGGAGGGGCGGAGGGUGAGUUUGCAGCUCCCGGGUAAGGCAGCGAGGAGGGGAGCAGGGGGGGGCCCUCUCCAGGAGGGGUGUUUAGCCUAGGUGCUCUAGCGUACCUGGAGUGAGGUUUUCCCAGAGGUUCACAACAGCAUGUGCAGAGUCCAGCUGCACAGCCACCAGUUUAAAAAGAAACAGCAACGACAAAAUAAAUAAAAAGUCAACCCCUCCUAAGAUGAGAAUGAAAUACAUAUUCUUCAGGUCUCGGCCUGGUUCGGAAUCGUCUAAAAACUGAAGCAAACAUUUAAAAGGGCUUAUUAACUUUCUGCAGGGGCCAAAGUGAUGUGGCAAUGAGGCGGGGAGGAGAGAUCACACGCCUGCAGCCCAUCACACUGAGGGUCAGGACAGCACAAAGGCCUCCAUUUAAAGUGCCGACCAUACAAAAGAAGAAGAUGGAGGAGCAACAUCCUUCUCCCCCUUUUUCCAUCGCUAUUUCCAAUUGAAACCCAUUUCCUUCACCAAGUCACAACUAAGCCUAUUCUUUUGGACAUUCACUCAGUUUACACUGUUUU